UACAGAGGUCUCGAGCGUUAGGCGGGAUCACUGGGCUUAAAGCGUGUGUAGGCGGAUCGUUAAGUACCUUGUGAAAUCCCACGGCUUAACCGUGGAACUGCUUGGUAUACUGGCGGUCUUGAGCCAGCUAGGGGCUACCGGAACAAAUGGUGGAGCGGUGAAAUGCGUAGAUAUCAUUUGGAACGCCAAUGGUGAAAACAGGUAGCUGGGGCUGUGCUGACGCUGAGACACGAAAGCCAGGGGAGCAAACGGG
rnacentral:rRNA from 1 species